AUUGAACGCUGGCGGCAUGCCUUACACAUGCAAGUCGAACGGUAACAGGUCUUCGGAUGCUGAUGAGUGGCGAACAGGUGAGUAAUACAUCGGAACGUGCCUAGUAGUGGGGGAUAACUACUCGAAAGAGUGGCUAAUACCGCAUGAGAUCUACGGAUGAAAGCAGGGGAUCGCAAGGCCUUGUGCUACUAGAGCGGCCGAUGGCAGAUUAGGUAGUUGGUGGGAUAAAAGCUUACCAAGCCGACGAUCUGUAGCUGGUCUGAGAGGACGAUCAGCCACACUGGGACUGAGACACGGCCCAGACUCCUACGGGAGGCAGCAGUGGGGAAUUUUGGACAAUGGGCGCAAGCCUGAUCCAGCAAUGCCGCGUGCAGGAUGAAGGCCUUCGGGUUGUAAACUGCUUUUGUACGGAACGAAAAGCCCUGGGUUAAUACCCUGGGGUCAUGACGGUACCGUAAGAAUAAGCACCGGCUAACUACGUGACAGCCGCCGCUGUAACAC
rnacentral:rRNA from 1 species